UGGGGAAUAUUGCACAAUGGAGGGAACUCUGAUGCAGCGACGCCGCGUGAGUGAUGAAGGAAUUCGUUUCGUAAAACUCUGUUCUAUGGGAAGAAAAGGACUGUACCAUAGGAGAAAGCUCCGGCUAAAUACGUGCCAGCAGCCGCGGUAAUACGUAUGGAGCGAGCGUUGUACGGAAUUAUUGGGCGUAAAGGGUGCGCAGGCGGCUUUACAAGUUGGAUGUGAAAUAUUGUGGCUCAACCACAAACGUGCAUCCAAAACUGCAAAGCUUGAGUUAAGGAGAGGGAAGUGGAAUACCUGGUGUAGCGGUGGAAUGCAUAGAUAUCAGGAGGAAUACCGGUGGCAAAGGCGACUUACUGGACUUAAACUGACGCUCAGGCACGAAAGCGUGGGGAGCAAACAGG
rnacentral:rRNA from 1 species